AGCGAACGCUGGCGGCAGGCCUAACACAUGCAAGUCGAACGAAGUCUUCGGACUUAGUGGCGGACGGGUGAGUAACACGUGGGAACGUGCCUUUAGGUUCGGAAUAACUCAGGGAAACUUGUGCUAAUACCGAAUGUGCCCUUCGGGGGAAAGAUUUAUCGCCUUUGGAGCGGCCCGCGUUGGAUUAGGUAGUUGGUGAGGUAAAGGCUCACCAAGCCUACGAUCCAUAGCUGGUCUGAGAGGAUGAUCAGCCACACUGGGACUGAGACACGGCCCAGACUCCUACGGGAGGCAGCAGUAGGGAAUCUUGCGCAAUGGGCGAAAGCCUGACGCAGCCAUGCCGCGUGAAUGAUGAAGGUCUUAGGAUUGUAAAAUUCUUUCACCGGGGAAGAUAAUGACGGUACCCGGAGAAGAAGCCCCGGCUAACUUCGUGCCAGCCGCCGCCGUAA
rnacentral:rRNA from 1 species